rnacentral:rRNA from 1 species
UGCAGACGGGUGAGUACGCGUGGAACGUGCCUUUCACUACGGAAUAGCUUUUGGAAACGAAAGGUAAUACCGUAUACGCCCUCCGGGGGAAAGAUUUAUCGGUGAAAGAUCGGUCCGCGUUAGAUUAGCUAGUUGGUGAGGUAAAAGCUCACCAAGGCGACGAUCUAUAGCUGGUCUGAGAGGAUGAUCAGCCACACUGGAACUGAGACACGGUCCAGACUCCUACGGGAGGCAGCAGUGGGGAAUAUUGCACAAUGGGCGCAAGCCUGAUGCAGCCAUGCCGCGUGAAUGAUGAAGGCCUUAGGGUUGUAAAAUUCUUUCGCUAGGGAUGAUAAUGACAGUACCUAGUAAAGAAGCCCCGGCUAACUUCGUGCCAGCAGCCGCGGUAAUACGAAGGGGGCUAGCGUUGUUCGGAAUUACUGGGCGUAAAGCGCACGUAGGCGGACUUUUAAGUCAGAUGUGAAAUCCCGAGGCUCAACCUCGGAACUGCAUUUGAAACUGGGAGUCUAGAGAUCAGGAGAGGUUAGCGGAAUACCGAGUGUAGAGGUGAAAUUCGUAGAUAUUCGGUGGAACACCAGUGGCGAAGGCGGCUAACUGGACUGAUACUGACGCUGAGGUGCGAAAGUGUGGGGAGCAAACAGGAUUAGAUACCCUGGUAGUCCACACCGUAAACGAUGAGUGCUAGUUGUCUGCAGGCAUGCCUGUAGGUGACGCAGCUAACGCAUUAAGCACUCCGCCUGGGGAGUACGGCCGCAAGGUUAAAACUCAAAGAAUUGACGGGGGCCCGCACAAGCGGUGGAGCAU